UGCCGCAGUCCGGGUCUCGACGCGGGAGCGGCGCGCGGGCCCGGCAUGUCCUGAGCCGGACCGGGACCGGGCAGCGAGCGGACGGGACGGACGAGAGCGCGCGCGCGGGGCCCCCCCCCUCGGUGCCGCCCGCCCCGGCCAUGCCCGGCCGCCCCAGCCCCGCGCCGCGGCUGCGCCCCCUGCUCCUGCUGCUCUGCGCCGUGGCGCCCGGCGACCCCGGACCCGCACCAGGGAGCGGCGCCGACGGCCGCGCGGCGCUGGACGUGGUGCACCCGGUGCGCGUGGACGCGGGCGGCGCCUUCCUGUCGUACGAGCUGUGGCCGCGCGCGCUGCGCAAGCGGGACGUGUCCGCGCGCCGCGCCGCGCCCGCCUUCUACGAGCUGCAGUACCGCGGGCGCGAGUUGCGCUUCAACCUGACGGCCAACGCGCACCUGCUGGCGCCCGGCUUCGUGAGCGAGACGCGGCGGCGCGGCGGCCUGGGGCGCGCGCACAUCCGCGCCCGCGCGCCCGCCUGCCACCUGCUCGGCGAGGUGCAGGACCCCGAGCUGGAGGGCGGCCUGGCGGCCAUCAGCGCCUGCGACGGGCUGACAGGUGUGUUCCGCCUCUCCAACGAGGACUACUUCAUCGAGCCCCUGGAGGGUGUGCCCGUCCGUCCUGGCCACGCCCAGCCCCACGUGGUCUAUAAGCGCCAAGCCCCAGAGAGGGGGGCGGAGCUGGGGGGCUCCAGAGCUCCCGGCACCUGCGGGGUACCAGCGUCCACGGAGCCGGAGGCCCGGCGAGAGCGUUGGGAGCAGCGGCAGCAGUGGCGUCGGCAGCGCCCGAGGCGUCUGCAUCAGCGCUCGGUCAGCAGAGAGAAGUGGGUGGAGACCCUGGUGGUCGCCGACACCAAGAUGGUGGAGUACCACGGGCAGCCGCAGGUCGAGAGCUACGUGCUGACCAUCAUGAACAUGGUGGCCGGCCUGUUUCACGACCCCAGCAUCGGGAACCCCAUCCACAUUACCAUCGUGCGCCUCAUCCUGCUGGAGGAUGAGGAGGAAGACCUGAAGGUCACGCACCACGCGGACAACACCCUGCGCAGCUUCUGCAAGUGGCAAAAGAGCAUCAACAUGAAGGGGGACGCGCACCCGCUGCACCACGACACCGCCAUCCUGCUCACCAGGAAGGACCUGUGUGCGGCCAUGAACAGGCCCUGUGAGACCCUGGGCCUGUCCCACGUGGCGGGCAUGUGCCAGCCGCACCGCAGCUGCAACAUCAACGAGGACACGGGCCUGCCGCUGGCCUUCACGGUGGCCCACGAGCUCGGACACAGUUUUGGGAUUCAGCACGACGGAAGCGGCAAUGACUGCGAGCCCGUGGGGAAACGGCCUUCCAUCAUGUCUCCACAGCUCCUGUACGACACCGCCCCCCUCACCUGGUCCCGCUGCAGCCGCGAGUACAUCACCAGGUUCCUGGACCGGGGGUGGGGCCUGUGCUUGGACGAUGCUCCCACCAAGGAUGUCAUCGACUUCCCCUCGGUGCCACCCGGGGUCCUCUACGACGUGGGCCACCAGUGCCGCCUCCAGUAUGGGGCCUAUUCGGCCUUCUGUGAGGACAUGGACAAUGUGUGCCACACACUCUGGUGCUCCGUGGGGACCACCUGUCACUCCAAGCUGGAUGCAGCUGUGGACGGCACUAGGUGUGGGGAGAGCAAGUGGUGUCUGAACGGGGAGUGUGUUCCUGUCGGCUUCCGGCCUGAGGCUGUGGACGGCGGCUGGUCAGGCUGGAGCGCCUGGUCCGUCUGCUCGCGGAGCUGUGGUGUGGGCGUGCAGAGUGCUGAACGGCGGUGCACACAGCCUGUGCCCAAGUACAAGGGCAAGUACUGUGUGGGCGAGCGGAAGCGCUUCCGUCUGUGCAACCUGCAGGCCUGCCCCCCCGGCCGCCCCUCGUUCCGCCACGUCCAGUGCAGCCACUUUGACGCCAUGCUCUACAAGGGCCAGCUACACACCUGGGUGCCGGUGCUCAACGACGCCAGCCCCUGUGAGCUGCACUGCCGGCCUUCAAGCGAGUACUUUGCUGAGAAGCUCAGGGACGCUGUGGUGGAUGGCACCCCCUGCCACCAGGGCCGGCCCGGCCACGACCUCUGCAUCAAUGGCAUCUGCAAGAACGUGGGCUGUGACUUCGAGAUUGACUCGGGUGCUGUCGAGGACCGCUGUGGCGUGUGCCAUGGCAACGGCUCCACCUGCCACACCGUGAGCGGGACCUUCGAGGAGUCUGAGGGCCUGGGGUAUGUGGACGUGGGGCUGAUCCCGGCUGGUGCCCGUGAGAUCCGCAUCGAGGAGGUGGCUGAGGCCGCCAACUUCCUGGCCCUGCGGAGCGAGGACCCUCACAAGUACUUCCUCAACGGGGGCUGGACCAUCCAGUGGGGCGGGGACUACCCGGUGGCGGGCACCACCUUCACGUACGCGCGCACAGGCAACUGGGAGAACCUCACGGCCCCCGGCCCCACCGACGAGCCCGUCUGGAUCCAGCUGCUCUUCCAGGAGAGCAACCCCGGGGUGCGCUACGAGUACACCAUCCACAGGGAGGAGGAUGGCCACGGCCACGGCCAGCCGCCCGAGUUUUCCUGGAGCUACGGGCCCUGGAGCCAGUGCACGGUCACCUGUGGCACAGGUAUGCAGAGGCAGACUGUGCACUGUACCGAGCGACAGGUGGGGCCCGUGGACGAGAGACACUGUGACCCCCUGGUCCGGCCUGAUGACCGCCAGAGGCAGUGCAGCGAGGAGCCGUGCCCUGCCCGGUGGUGGGCAGGGGAGUGGCAGGCGUGUUCCCACUCCUGCGGGCCCGCGGGCCUCUCCCGCCGCUCUGUGCUCUGCAUCCGCGGUGUGGGGCCGGAUGAGCAGAGGGCCCUGCAGCCGCCUGCCUGCGAGCACCUCCCCCGGCCCCCUGCCGAAAGUCCUUGUAACCGUGAGGUGCCCUGCCCCGCCACCUGGGCCGUGGGGAACUGGUCUCAGUGCUCGGCUACGUGCGGGGAUGGCGCCCGGCUCCGGAGUGUCCUCUGCACCAAUGACACCGGCGUCCCCUGUGAUGAGGCGCGGCGGCCGGCCGGCAAGGCUACCUGCUCUCUGCCGCCCUGUCCGCGGACCCUGGACGUGCUGGGCCCCGAAGGCUCGGGCAGUGGCUCCUCCUCCAGCCACGAGUUCCUCAACGAGAUCGACUUCAUCCCCCCGCGCCUGGCCCCACGCCCCCCGCCCCCCUUGUCACCCGAGCCGACCGGCGUGGGCAACGCCAUCGAGGAGGACCCUGGGCUGGGCCCGCCGGGACCCGUGUUCGUUGACGAUUUCUACUACGACUACAAUUUCAUUAACUUCCAUGAGGACCUCUCUUACGGGCCCUUGGAGGACCCCGCCCCAGACCUGGCAGGUGCGGGGGACCGGACACCCCCGCCCCUGAGCAGUCCUGCUGAGCCCCCCACAGCCACCCCCCUGCCGGCCUCAGAGCUUCCUGGGACGCCGGGAGACGGGUCGCCUGCCCCUGGGCCCGGCCAGGCUGGCCUCUCCCCGCCCCCACCCUCAGAGCAGACCCCCGGGAACCCCCUGGUCAAUUUCUUGCCUGAGGAAGACACCCCUGUUGAGGCCCCAGACUCCGGGCUCCCCAGCUUGCCCCGGCCCCCCACUCCAGCCGGUGGCACGGAAAAACCGGCUGCCCCUGGGAGCCAAAACAGGGUCCUGGGAGGGGAAGACAGCCAGAGCUGGACGUCCCCUCCGUGGUGGGAAAGGACCAACGAGCUGUCCGAGGAGGAGGGUACCGGCCCCCCCCAAGGGCCCCACCCCACCCCACCCGCCUCACCCGCCUCACCCGCCUCACCCACCUCACCCACCACGGGCCCCAGCCACUCCUCCCCCAGUCCCGACGCAGGAUCGCUGUGGACAGCUGGGACUGUGGCCUGGGAGCCAACUCUGAACAGUGGCCUGGGGCCUGCGGACAGUGAGCUGUGGCCCAGCACUGGGGGGGCUCCUGCCCCUCCUCCGCCGGUCACUCAGCCAGAGACCCGGGACGGGGACAGCACCCUGGAGCCGGGGCCUCCCACCCCUUGGACCCCGGCAGCACCAGGAGCCUUCCUCCUGCCGGCCCCGGGCCCAGGACUUGUGGGCCCCGAGUCCCCUGGUUCCGUGGGGUUCACACCAGCUCAGGACGGCUCGGCCAAUGGCAGCAUCAUCCCUGAGGCCCAGCCAGACCCCAGCCUGGCCGUGCACCUGCCCCCUGCUGGGAAUGCCAGCUGGGAAGUGGGCAACUGGAGUGAGUGCUCCACCACCUGCGGCCUGGGUGCCGUGUGGAGGCCCGUGCGCUGCAGUUCGGGCCGGGAGGACGACUGUGCCCCCGAGGGCCGGCCCCAGCCCGCCCGCCACUGCCACCUGAGGCCGUGUGCCGCCUGGCAUGCGGGCAACUGGAGUAAGUGCUCCCGCAGCUGUGGCGGAGGGUCCUCGACGCGGGACGUGCAGUGCGUGGACACGCAGGACUUAAGGCCUCUGCGGCCCUUCCACUGCCAGCCGGGGCCGGCCAUGCCACCGGCCCGCCGUCCCUGCGGCGCCCAGCCCUGCCUCAGCUGGUACGUCUCUUCCUGGAGAGAGUGCUCAGAGGCUUGUGGCGGUGGCGAGCAGCGGCGUCUGGUGACCUGCCCGGAGCCGGGCCUCUGCGAGGAGGCCCUGAGACCCAACAGCACGCGGUCCUGCAACACCCAGCCCUGUACCAAGUGGGUGGUGGGGCCCUGGGGCCAGUGCUCGGCCCCCUGCGGUGGCGGUGUUCAGAGACGCCUGGUCAGGUGUGUCAACACCCAGACCGGGCUGCCCGAGGAGGACAGUGACCAGUGUGGCCACGAGGCCUGGCCCGAGAGCUCCCGGCCAUGCGGCACCCAAGACUGUGAGCUCGGCGAGGCUCCACGCUGCGAGCGGGAUCGCCUGUCCUUCGGCUUCUGUGAGACCCUCCGCCUGCUGGGCCGCUGCCAGCUGCCUGCCGUCCGCACCCAGUGCUGCCGCUCCUGUCCCCUACCAGGCCACGGGGUCCCCUCCCGCGGCCAUCAGCGUGUCGCCCGCCGCUGACCCACUCCAGCCAGGCCGCACGAACAGACCGUCCCGGACGCACGGACCUCAUGCCCCAGUGCGGGCUGCACCCCAAAGGUGCUAACCCGGCCCGCUGACGGCGGGCUAGGGAUCUCUCACCCCAAGAAAGAAAUAAUUUAAAAAAUAGUCUGAAAACGUAUGUGAGCCACAGACACUUCUCUGCGGAAAGACUCAUGGCUUCCUUACGGGUAGACAAGCCUGACGUGGAACACGGUCAUGUGCAGGGAAAGGCGGCCCUGUACCACACGGGCAGCAGUGAACUGUACCCCGCCUUGGCCGUGGGAGCCCCUGGCGAGUCCCCAGGGCAGCCGCCAAAGGCGGUCGGGGGCACACGCACAACACGGACACGAUCCGCCGAGGCCUGGUGCCCGAGCCAGAAGCCCAGGGUUCCCCAAGCUCCACUUCCUGUCCCAUGCUCUAGUCUACCCCCUCCGCCCCCCCGCCCCCCUUCCCCAGGCCCCGGGUCUCCUCUCCGAUGCCAGCCCUCCUGUCUUCCCGACACUUGGGGGAUGAAGCCUGUCCUGCUCCGCCACGGCCCCAGACACGCUGCCUCUCACCUCCACUCCUCAGGAUCCCUUUGCCCAGGACACCCUCUCCUUGGGGUCCCCCCGGCCCCGCUCACCCCCACCUUUCCCCUGCACUUGUCCCAUCUGGGCUCCCCCCACGGCAGCCCUGAGCCUGUCACGCCAGUGGUCUCCCCUAGGUUGUUCACGGGAGAUGUCCGUCCUUGGUCACCGUGCCCCCCGUGCCCCGGACGCUCAGUAAAGGCUUGCUGGACAAAUAAAAAUGCUGCUUCGCU